rfam:Bacillus cellulosilyticus DSM 2522, complete genome.
UCCACUGUGAGGUGGAAUCUGAAGGAAGCCGGACGCAAAAUCUCGAGGUAACGAACAGAAACUGGAUACAAGGCUGUCAGGAGAUGGAUGAGUUUGCAAUACAAAACGAAGUCCAACACUGCACGAAUCUCCUACAGUAAAUUCAGUACUUGCGAGAGGAAAGCGGUUAGA